UACGAGGGGAGCAAGCGUUGUUCGGAUUUACUGGGCGUAAAGGGCGCGUAGGCGGUCGUGACAAGUCACUUGUGAAAAUCUCCGGGCUUAACUCGGAACGGUCAAGUGAUACUGUCGGACUAGAGUACAGAAGGGGCAACUGGAAUUCUCGGUGUAGCGGUGAAAUGCGUAGAUAUCGAGAGGAACACCUGCGGCGAAGGCGGGUUGCUGGGCAACAACUGACGCUGGAGGAGCGAAAGGCCGUGGGGAGCGAACAGG
rnacentral:rRNA from 1 species